UUUGGUCAUGUGAUGUUCAGGAAAAUAAUACAGACUUUGCUUCAGGCUUCAUUUGGACACGCCCCCUUUACUCGAUGCAGGCUUUGGGGCUUUUGUGUCAGAAGUAACAUCACUGUCUGGACCUGAUGCA